rnacentral:rRNA from 1 species
CGGAGGAACAUGUAGUUAAUUCGAUGAUACGCGAGGAACCUUACCUGGGCUUAAAUGGGGAGUGACAGCUGGCGAAAGUUGGUUUUCUUCGGACACUCUUCAAGGUGCUGCAUGGUUGUCGUCAGCUCGUGCCGUGAGGUGUCGGGUUAAGUCCCAUAACGAGCGCAACCCUUACUGUUAGUUGCCAGCGGGUCAAGCCGGGAACUCUAACGGGGACUGCCACCGUAAGGUGAGAGGAAGGUGGGAUGACGUCAAAUCAGCACGGCCCUUAUGUCCAGGGCUACACACGUGUUACAAUGGCCGGCACAGAGGGCAGCUACCUGGUGACAGGAUGCUAAUCUCGAAAACCGGUCUCAGUUCGGAUCGAAGUCUGCAACUCGACUUCGUGAAGCUGGAUUCGCUAGUAAUCGCGCAUCAGCCAUGGCGCGGUGAAUACGUUCCCGGGCCUU